GAUGAACGCUAGCUACAGGCUUAACACAUGCAAGUAGAGGGACCGGCGCACGGGUGAGUAACACGUAUCCAACCUGCCCUUUACUCGGGGAUAGCCUUUCGAAAGAAAGAUUAAUACCCGAUAUAAAGGAUGGGGAUGCGUUCCAUUAGGUUGUUGGUGAGGAAACGGCCCACCAAGCCCGCGAUGGAUAGGUGUUCUGGGAGGAAGGUCCACCACAUUGGAACUGAGCCGCGGUCCAAACUCCUACGGGAGGCAGGAGUGAGGAAGAUUAGUCAAGGGGCGCUAGCCGGAACCUGCCAAGUAGCGUGAAGGAUGAAGGCUUAUGGAUCGUAAACUUCUUUUAUAUAAGAAGAUGUAUUUGAUGAAUAAGGAUCGGCUAACUCCGUGCCAGCAGCCGCGGUAAUUC
rnacentral:rRNA from 1 species